UACGGGGGGAGCAAGCGUUGUUCGGAUUUAUUGGGCGUAAAGCGUCCGCAGGUGGCUAUACAAGUCUGCUGUUAAAGCGUGGGGCUUAACUCCAUACAGGCAGUGGAAACUGUAAAGCUAGAGUCUGGUAGGGGUCACGGGAAUUCCCAGUGUAGCGGUGAAAUGCGUAGAUAUUGGGAAGAACACCAGCGGCGAAAGCGCGUGACUGGGCCGGAACUGACACUCAUGGACGAAAGCUAGGGGAGCGAAAGGG
rnacentral:rRNA from 1 species